AGCAUUUACGCAACAGCUGUUUCGAAUACUUUCUACUCGUAAGACACCGAGAAGCAAGUUCGUAACUUGGAACGAAUGAACGGAUUAUACAGAUAAACUUAAAGGGUCAAGAGGCAGGAAUCUCCGAUGUCCGUAAUAAAAAUAAUUGUUCGAUGAAUUUCGUCGAGUAAAAGGAAGAGGAUGGUCCGACAUUAAAGAGAUUUCGAAAUUUCCUAAUUGGAUAAUUUACUAUUGGAACAUUUGUAAAUAUUGAAAGGUGGAGAUAUGAAAACUGGAGAUGGUUCGGUGAACGCCCCGUUGCCCGCGAGCGAUUCGGCGGGCACUUGAUUCGCUGGUAACUGGGUUAAAGCAGCACGCAUCAAUUAUUGGCACCUUCUCUAUCGGUCGGAAGCAAACUAGACAGAGAGAAUAAUUUUGUUUUUUACACGAGCUGUAGAAAUCAAUGUCGUAAAUUUCCAACAAGCAGGAGGAAUAAUAAAUGACCGUAGAAGUGACAAAAAUAACCUUUCGAAAUUUAGCGAAGCGCGGUUACCUAAAUCCGAUAAUCAAUACCAGUGGCCAGUAUCGAUCAUCGUAAACGCGGUUGGGUCGGGUUCUCAACGCGGCGACGAGGCGCGACGCGACGGUACUCGCAAGAAGACACGAUAAUCCCGAAGAAAAAGAGCUGGCGGAUCGGUAUGUGUUUAUGAGUUCGGAUUAAUGUUUGUCGAACCGCGGAGGAGAUGUUGGGAAGGUUGGUCGCUCGUUGACGGUCGAUCGUUACAAAUACCGGCGGAUACAUAAGCACGCGACGAGCGGGGCUCACUGAGCUCUAACGAGCCGUACACGUGUUUCUGACGUCGGUGCUAUAAAGUAAGCACGUAUACGGACACGCGUGUCUCUUCUUUGCGCGAGUGUGCGUAUAAACACGCGUGAACACGAGCGAAACGGAGAGAGGCACCCGUAUACGUGCAAACCCGCCACGGUGGAAGCCCUAGAGCCGGUUUUCAAUGAGCGAGUGGCGGAAGAAGAGGGAGAAACGACGGCAGCCAGUUACGCGGAAAGAGGAAGAGAGGGAUGAUGAUAAGAGAGACGGAGAAACGAACGAACGGAGGAAGAGGAGGAGGACGAACAACGAGGAAGGGAAGCAAGAAUGGACGGGAGCGGGAGGAAUAUAAACCCUUAUCGAAAUCGUGAUUCACCCCACAUUCUCCGGAGACCCCCUAACCUAUUAACAUCCAUAUCACAAUAGCAGAUACACGUGUAUACCGAGCCGUAUUCCCACACGGUCAUUCGUCCUCGCUCACCUUCAUAAUUACCUGCGAUUCCUGUGCCGCUAACAUUGGCGUAACUAGGGCUGUCUUGCAAAACCCCAUGCACUUACCUCUAGCUUUUCCUACCUUCUCCGUCAUUAUAUCACGCUUCUGCCCAACCACCUAUUUGCGUUAACCAUCACGAUAUUUGUCUAUACAUCGACAAAGUAUAUCUGCAUCCUUCAGUCGUUAGAUUUCCCUUAGUCAUUAGGCUAACUCUAGUCUUCGAAUCUUCUCUAAUUCCCUGCUCUCUAAUAGUCCCCUUUUUGGAAUCUCUCUAGAGUCCGUCCUAGAGUGGGUCGGAGUUUUCACUUUGAAGAAAAAUGCCAGUUACGCCAAUGGGAAAACUUGUUUCUCGUUUAAACGCGAUUGUCGUCCAUGCGAUACGAGGACGAAAUUAUGCAAAUUCGUCGAAACACGAUGUUCGAAAAUUUUUGGAUAAAUUGAAUCGUAUUCGUUCUUUUUGUUUCAUUAACAACGCGGAAUGAGCAUACGGACGAACACGGUCGAUAAUUAAUUCGAAGCGUUGAAUCGUUAACUCGAUCGUAAACAAGACGAUUCGGCGAUACGGUCGAGUAUUAUUGUUUUAAGAUUUCCUCUUCCUCCUUUUUUCUUACCGACGCGGAAACUUUAUGCGAGAUUCUUUCUCUAAUCUGAAACGGCCGAGGGUGGUUACUUCUCGCUGUUCGUUUAUGGAGCAAGUUUCCCCGUUAAAAGGAACUUUAAGCACUUUUGAGAGACUGACGUUAAAUAAGGUGAAGGACCGUUUAAGGAUCGUCAGGUUGGACCUUAUGAAGUACCGUGAAUACUCGUGAAUGAAAUCAACGUUGUACUUUCACCGGAAAUAAAAAGAACGUAUCCAGAGGAAGACAGAAGGAUUCAUUCAAUAAAGUCGCUGGGUACUUGACCUUCCAACCGCUAUUGUAUCAAAACGACGCGUAUCGCAUGCCUAUGCGUUAAAUCGCCACGUGCUCUAUAUUGCCACGCGUUCCAUUACGCGCCAAAUUACUCCGCGUCGUAUUACUGGGCGUUAGGUAACCACGUGCUUUAUAUUGCCAUUCGUCCUAUGUCGCUAUGAUGUGAAAUCAUCACGCGUGCAUAUCGCUAUGCGUUAAAUAGCCACGCGUUGUAUCGCCGCACAUCCUAUAUCACCACGCGACCCAUAUCGCCGCACAACAGAUUACCGCGUGUUAGAUCGGCAUGCGUCAAAUUAUCACGCGUGCGAUAGUUGCGUGCUCUAUAUUGCCACACGUCCUAUAUCACCUCGUGCCCCAUAUCACCACGUAUUAGAUUACGCGCCGUGUCGCUAUGCCAUCGUUAGAUAGCCACACAUUACGUAUCGUUACGCCGUGUAUUAGCACGCGUCACGUGUGCGAAAGUGAAACGCAUUUAAGACCGCAACAGUGAAAAAUGAUUAAACCGAAUUAUUAAGCAUACCCGUAGUUAAUUAAGUUCUCGGAAAGUAGGAACAUUUUCGUGCAAAGUCGAAGCGCUACGUCGAUAUUCGUUCGGAGGAACUUUUUCCGAGAAUCACGGUCAUGCAAUAUCCUGUAACGGAGGGUGGCGCGUUUCGUCGAAAAUUAGGCGAGUAUCUCGAACUGCGAUCGCCAUUAAGAAUCUCUGGCCGGGUACGAUCCCAUCAGGGGUCCGAGUCGCGAGCGGCGGCGGUGGCGCGAGGCAGGAUGAAAUUUGCGCGAGGAGAGAAAUGGGAGUCGGUUUUCGGGCGGACACCCAGUGCAUCGAGAUAGAUAGGUAGAUAGACGUCCGGAUAGAUGCAUGCCACGGCAGCCGGUAAGGGAUGCCGAGGGGUAGCGCAAAGCGGACGCGAACGAAGGGGGUUGGUGUAGGUGGUCGCGGUGAGACGGGCAGGAGAGAGGAGGAGAAGGAGGUGGAGGCGGUGGAGGAGGAUGAGGAGGUGGAGGAAGCGCAAGAGGACGAGGUGGAGCAGAAAGGGGUCGAUGGUGGGUGGAUGGGUCGGUGGAGAGUGGGUGGUAGUUCUCUCGCUGAUUACGUCGCAGGAUAGCCAGGAGAGAGAAACGGCGAAGAGGAUGCUGCUACGCCGUGCGCGGAGGAGGCCGGUUCGCUGGAUAGAGGCGAAUAUAUCCGCAAUGUCCUACCACCAACCCUAUACCCGCGCUAUCUUCCUCCUCUUUCUAUUCCUCUCUCCGUCUCUAUCUCCGUUUACCGGUUUCCUCUUCGUUUCGCCCUCGUCACACGAUAUCCGUACCUCCUCGUUCCUCCAGUCGUUCCUCUCUGUCCGUUACUGCUUCCCUCUUUCCCUCUGACGGCACCAGCCUCCCGGAUGGCAGGGCCCUAAGCUAAACUAAGCUACGCCAGGAUAGGAUAGCGUCAGGAGGAUAGGAUGGGAUAGGAUGGUUGGAUGGUGCCCACCUACCCUUGCGCAUACAACGACCAGAACGUCGACGUGGAGAACGACGACAACGUCGACGACGACGACGACGACGACGACGA